GGGAUUGCCCUAGUAACGGCGAGUGAAGCGGCAACAGCUCAAAUUUGAAAUCUGGCCCUAGGCCCGAGUUGUAAUUUGCAGAGGAUGCUUUUGGUGAGGUGCUUACCGAGUCCCCUGGAAUGGGGCGCCACAGAGGGUGAGAGCCCCGUAUGGUUUGCCACCGAGCCUUUGUAAAGCUCCUUCGACGAGUCGAGUAGUUUGGGAAUGCUGCUCUAAAUGGGAGGUAAAUUUCUUCUAAAGCUAAAUACCGGCCAGAGACCGAUAGCGCACAAGUAGAGUGAUCGAAAGAUGAAAAGCACUUUGAAAAGAGGGUUAAAUAGCACGUGAAAUUGUUGAAAGGGAAGCGCUUGUGACCAGACUUGUGCCGGGCGGAUCAUCCAGCGUUCUCGCUGGUGCACUCCGCCCGGCUCAGGCCAGCAUCGGUUUUCGCCGGGGGACAAAAGCUUCGGGAACGUAGCUCCCUUCGGGGAGUGUUAUAGCCCGUUGCACAAUACCCCGGCGGGGACCGAGGACCGCGCUUCGGCAAGGAUGCUGGCGUAAUGGUCAUCAGCGACCCGUCUUGAAACACGGACCGAGGAGUCAAGCAUUAGUGCGAGUGUUUGGGUGUAAAACCCGCACGCGUAAUGAAAGUGAACGUAGGUGAGAGCUUCGGCGCAUCAUCGACCGAUCCUGAUGUUUUCGGAUGGAUUUGAGUAGGAGCAUUAACGCUUGGACCCGAAAGAUGGUGAACUAUACUUGAAUAGGGUGAAGCCAGAGGAAACUCUGGUGGAGGCUCGCAGCGGUUCUGACGUGCAAAUCGAUCGUCAAAUUUG
rnacentral:rRNA from 1 species